GACGAACGCUGGCGGCGUGCUUAACACAUGCAAGUCGAACGCUGAAGCUUGGUGCUUGCUCUGGGUGGAUGAGUGGCGAACGGGUGAGUAAUACGUGAGUAACCUGCCCUUGACUCUGGGAUAAGCCUGGGAAACUGGGUCUAAUACUGGAUACGACAUGUCACCGCAUGGUGGUGUGUGGAAAGGGUUUUACUGGUUUUGGAUGGGCUCACGGCCAAUCAGCUUGUUGGUGGGGUAAUGGCUCACCAAGGCGACGACGGGUAGCCGGCCUGAGAGGGUGACCGGCCACACGGGGACUGAGGCACGGCGCAGACUGCAACGGGAGGCAGCAGUGGGGAAUAUUGCACAAUGGGCGGAAGCGUGAUGCAGCGGCGCCGGGUGCGGGAUGACGGCCUUCGGGGUGUAAACCUCUUUCAGAGCGGAAGAAGCGAAAGUGACGGUACGUGCAGAAGAAGCGCCGGCUAACUACGUG
rnacentral:rRNA from 1 species